UGGGGAAUAUUGCACAAUGGGCGCAAGCCUGAUGCAGCAACGCCGCGUGAACGAUGAAGGUCUUCGGAUCGUAAAGUUCUGUUGCAGGGGAAGAUAAUGACGGUACCCUGUGAGGAAGCCCCGGCUAACUACGUGCCAGCAGCCGCGGUAAUACGUAGGGGGCUAGCGUUAUCCGGAUUUACUGGGCGUAAAGGGUGCGUAGGUGGUCUUUCAAGUCGGUGGUUAAAGGCUACGGCUCAACCGUAGUUAGCCUCCGAAACUGGAAGACUUGAGGGCAGGAGAGGAAAGUGGAAUUCCCAGUGUAGCGGUGAAAUGCGUAGAUAUUGGGAGGAACACCAGUAGCGAAGGCGGCUUUCUGGACUGCAACUGACACUGAGGCACGAAAGCGUGGGUAGCAAACAGG
rnacentral:rRNA from 1 species